rnacentral:rRNA from 1 species
UGCCCGUGACGUCGCGAGAAGUCCACUGAACCUUAUCAUUUAGAGGAAGGAGAAGUCGUAACAAGGUUUCCGUAGGUGAACCUGCGGAAGGAUCAUUGUCGAGACCUGCCCAGCAGAAGGACCGGCGAAC